AUGGGCGGGGGGAGGGGCGCAGGGCAGCGGCCCCCCCCCCCCCGGGGGGUCCCUGAAGGCGGGGGGGGGCAGCAGCGGCCCCUCCCCCCUCCUCAUCCUCGGCCCCGCCCCACGCGGACACCUGGGGGGGGGGGCGGGGUCACGGAGGGGUCACACGGGGGGUCACUCCCCCCUGCCCUCCCCCCAAAGGUCACACCCCUCCCCCCUUCCAGAACGCCCCUCCCCCCAUUAAACCCCCCCAGCCCCCCCGUGCCCCUCCCCCCCCCGGUGCCCCUCCCCCCCUCACCGUGUCCCGGGGGGGGGUCCCGGGCCCGGGGGGGGUCCCCAGGACCCUCUGCAGCACCUCGGCCACGUGGCGGCUCAGGGCGGCUCUUUCCAGCGCCACGGACUGAGCCUGGGACCCAAAACCGACGGAAUUCACCCCAAAAUCAGCCCCAAAGCAGCCGCAGUUCACCCCAAAAUCAGCCCCAAAACCCGCCCCAAAAUCCGGCCCCAAAACCGACCCCAAAAUCGGCCCCAAAAUCGGCCCCAAAACCGGCCCCAAAACCGGCCCCAAAAUCAGCCCCAAAACCGGCCCCAAAACCAGCCCCAAAACCGGCCCCAAAACCCGCCCCAAAACCCGCCCCAAAACCGGCCCCAAAAUCCGCCCCAAAACCCGCCCCAAAACCGGCCCCAAAACUCGCCCCAAAACCCGCCCCAAAACCCGCCCCAAAACCCGCCCCAAAACCCGCCCCAAAACCCGCCCCAAAACCGGCCCCAAAACCGGCCCCAAAACCCGGCCCCAAAACCGGCCCCAAAAUUGGCCCCAAAAUCGGCCCCAAAAUCGGCCCCAAAAACCGCCCCAAAACCGGCCCCAAAAUCGGCCCCAAACCGGCCAGAAUUCACCCCGCAAACAGCCCCAAAAUCAGCCUGCACAUGCAGCCCCAAAACCCCCCAAAACCGCCCCAAAAUUCACCCCAAAAUUCACCCCAAAACCAGCCCGCUCCUGUGACCCCAAACCGGGCCAGGAGUCACCCUGGGGGAGAAAUCAGGGCCAAAACUGCGGGAACUGGGGAA
rnacentral:lncRNA from 14 species